GCUACGGGCGGCAGCAGUGAGGAAUAUUGGUCAAUGGACGAGAGUCUGAACCAGCCAAGUAGCGUGAAGGAUGACUGCCCUAUGGGUUGUAAACUUCUUUUAUGAAGGAAUAAACUGAGGCACGUGUGCCUUUUUGCAGGUACUUUAUGAAUAAGGAUCGGCUAAUUCCGUGCCAGCAGCCGCGGUAAUACGGAGGGUCCGAGCGUUAGCCGGAUUUAUUGGGUUUAAGGGGAGCGUAGACGGGUUGUUAAGUCCGUUGUGAAAGUUUGCGGCUCAACCGUAAAAUUGCAAUUGAUACUGGCAGUCUUGAGUACAGUUGAGGUAGGCGGAAUUCGUGGUGUAGCGGUGAAAUGCUUAGAUAUCACGAAGAACCCCGAUUGCGAAGGCAGCUUACUAAACUGUGACUGACAUUGAUGCUCGAAAGUGUGGGUAUCAAACAGGAUUAGAUACCCUGGUAGUC
rnacentral:rRNA from 1 species